rnacentral:misc_RNA from 1 species
GAUGAAGAACGUAGCGAAAUGCGAUACUUGGUGUGAAUUGCAGAAUCCCGUGAACCAUCGAGUCUUUGAACGCAAGUUGCGCCUCAAGCCAUUAGGUUGAGGGCACGUCUGCCUGGGCGUCACAUAUCGUUGCCUGAUGCCAGUUUCCUCGUGAUGGGUGACUGUGCAGGGCGAAUGAUGGCUUCCCGUGAGCAUUGUUGCCUCAUGGUUGGUUGAAAAUUGAGUCCUUGGUAGGGAGCGCCGUGAUAGAUGGUGGUUGAGUGAAGAACGAGACCCAAUCAUGUGAGACCCCUACCGAAUUUGGCCUUCAUGACCCACAUGCGUCUUUGGAACGCUCAUGACGAGACCUCAGGUCAGGCGGGGCUACCCGCUGAGUUUAAGCAUAUCAAUAAGCGGAGGA